UAAAAUAACUUGUAAUUUAGGUAAUAUGCUGAUAUGUCUUAAUGUUCUAUCCAAUUAAUAUAAUCUAUGUAUCAAUUUUGUGUCAUUGUUGGCUCUAUUUAAGGACAAGAAGAUAAGAGAUCUUAAUGGCAACUGGCGGGCGAUAGGGCGUCAGGGAGGUGAUUGGGUCCAGGAGGCAUGGGAACGCACCAUUGCAGUGUAGAAAAAAAAUCCCUUAGGUGGAACAAUUCGCACGUCACCCACCAAUGGCACCGACUGCUCCUUUGAGCGCCUCGAUCCCGGCAAGGCGGG